UUUUUUCAUUUUUUAUUUUUCUUCAUGAUUUCCUUUUAUGCUAUGGUGGAAAAUUUUGCAUGAUGAUGCUGAGAAAAGAAUGCUUGAUUAUUUUUUUGUUCUAAUUUUUCCUACGUCCAAGUUGCAUUGGACUUAAGUGAAGAUGAAAAACAACAUCUUCAGAAUUUGGAAGAUGAAGAAGGCAGGUAUUAAUAGAUGUUAUCUUCACUUUUGGCUUAUUCUGUAAUUUACUAUAAGUAUUUGUGAAAUUCUUCUUUCACUGUUAGAAGUACCUUGAGCCGUCUAUUAAUGGUUGUGUUAGAAAGGGUGUCAUAAACUUACCUUAUGUUUGGUUCUUGGAAAGUAAUAAGAAAAGGAAAGGAAAAAAUGCUAGUGAAAAUGGUUUUCUCAUGUUUGGGUACCAUGCGAAAGAUGAAGAAAAAAAAAACGAAAGAAAAGGGUUGGGGUGGUGGUGGUGUCCAUUUUCCUUAACAAAAAAUGAGGAAAGUUAGUGGAAAUUACAUUCUUUAGCAAUUUAAUUUUCUUUCCUUCAACUUUUCAAUGGACAAUCAAAUAAAAGAAAACUUUUAUAAUUUUUUCUUAUAUUUCUCUGCUCUAUUUUUUUUCCUUAAAACUUUCUAGAAACAAAACAUAGGCUUAGCUUAUAUGGUUAGAAGUCGAAUAUAGCUGUAACAGUUAUGAUAUUGAGAAGCUACAGAUUGCUGAUCUAGUGUGGUGGUUCCAAACAUUUAUUCAUGUUAUGGAUUUGUUAAAGUUUGUGUUCAAAAAUAUUUCAUGCUUCAUAGGUGUUCUAUCCUGUUUGUAUUUCUCGAAUCUAGCCACCUUUCAUAAAUUUCAUUUUCAUGUUAGUGAAACAUAUUUCUUGUGCUUGUAUAUCUAUUAUUCCAUCCAUUGUUAGACAAAAGUAUAUGGCAUCCAGUAUUUUGGUACUGUAUUAAUGGAAUACUAUAAUUAAAAUACCAACACUAACUUGUUUAAGUAUUUAACUCUUCUAUCAUGCUUUGAUAUUUUUUUCUCCCGUUUAAUGUCAUUGCCUUUAUUAGUUCUGGUCUCCUGUAUCCCCUUGACAUUUAUGCUAUUUUGGGAUAAAUUGAAUGGUGGAAAGUGGUAUAGGACUUGUUAGAAUGUACCAAGAUAUUUGUGGAUACCUAAGCUCUCAAAACUUUCCUGAGGUUAGAAGGGAGUAAGAUUUUAGAAUCUUUCGAGUUUAAGCUUGAUUCCUAAGGGCCUAAAGGCUAAUGAAAGAGAGGAACUCUGUUAAUGGAAUUUAAAUUACUCAAUCUUAUCCCUGGAGGUGUCUUCCAAAAAGUCUCAUGAGCAACAAACUGUGGCUGCUCAAGAUGUAGACAGGUGGGCUUAUCAAGCAACAUGUCUCCUCUUCAAUGUUCUUAAUCGCUUAAGUCAUGUGAACUAAUGACCCCAAUAUUUGUAUAUGCAGUUUCACUAUAUUGUGUCAACAAUUCUUAAAUUCUCCAAAAAAAAAAAAAAAAUUCAAAUAUCCAUCUUUGGGUAAUUUUGCAUUAUUAAUAAUAGGUCACUGACCCUUUUCCUAAUGGGUAAUGAGGUCUCUAAGUAAAAACUGGGGGCUUUACACAGGCUACCCUGUUGUUUACAACAUAGCCCCCCAUCUCUCCCCCUCCCCCUCCACUCUUUUUUUUUCCUUUCUUUUUCUUAUGAUACAAUAUAGGGAAAACUGUGUUUUGGCCCGCCCAUUUGGGCCUAAUAGCUUUUUCAUAACCCAACUUUCCAUAACCCAAAAUAUGUCUACUGUUGCCCAAAAAAUUAUCCUUUUCAUGCACUAUGUACUGUUUUAUAAUUUCAUUUCCAAAAUUACCCCUCCACAUCCAUGUCAGCAGCCAUCUCCCUCUCCAUGUCACGGGUUGUGCUUUUAAUAAAUAAACACAAAAAUCUUAAACAAGUUAGCAAAACCCACACAACACCCGACUGUGAAAUUUGGGGAAACCAGGUUAGGGCAAAAGGAGAGAAAGUCAGAGAGAGUCCUUAGCUUCUUUCUCUUCUCUCUCUUUUCUCUCUGUUGGGUGAAUUUCUCAGUGAAAAAUCGAAAGCUUGUAAGCUGUAAUCGAUUCACGCGUGUCUCCAUACUACUGAUCCGCAAAUUUCUUCAGAUAAAGCCCACGCGACACUCGACUCUGAAAUUUGGGGAACCCAGGUUAGGGCAAAAGGAGAGAAAGUCACAGAGAGUCCUUAGCUUCGCUCUCUUCUCUCUCUUCUCUCUCUGUUGUGUGAAUUUCUCAAUGAAAAAUUGAAAGCUUGUAAGCUGUAAUCGAUUCACGCGUGUCGCCGUACUACUGAUCCGCAAAUUUCUUCAGAUAAAGCGAUUUCAUCUCCAGGUUCUCGCCUUCAUUUAGAGAUUUCCACUCUGUUAUGAGCUCUCUUACACUAUUCAAGUUAGAUUCGCUUUCUAGUCCAUCUUUUAGUUUUUGUUUGGUUGCUCAGAAAACUGAGGUAAAUGAGGAAAAUAUGAGGCGAAACUUAUAUGAUUAUUUUUUUUUCUAUUGUUGUUGGUUUCUUUGCAAUGAAAGAGAGCAAAUGUUUAGGCGCAGCUGUAAAUCUCGAGCUUUGUUCUUUAUUCCCGUUUUUUUUCUUCCGGCGACCACACGAAUGAACGAUAAAUAUGUACAUUUUUGUGUAUUCUUUACUUGGUCUUUCCUGAUUACUAUUUUUGUUUGGUAAUUUUUUUCAUUGAUUUCAUGCAUCUGGAACUAUUCAAUGCACGUAAUUUAGGUUUCUGGCCUAAUUUUUGGGAUUUAGGUUCUCUUGAGAUUGACAAUUAAUUAGUGUUUUUAUUUUUAAUUGCAAUUUAGCACCCGAGGAAAGCUGAAUUUCUAAACUUCUGUUCUGUGAUUAGAUGCUUAGUUUGUGACAUGACUGAUUUUCUCGAAUACCUAUGUAAUUUCUGCUCUGUGGGAUGGUUGAUUUUGUUUGACCUUGAUUGAAUUUUUAAACUCUUUUUUUGCUCUUGGAUUUGGUUCUUGAGGUAAGAUAAAGUUGUGGGUAUGUUUUUAUUUUAUUUGUUUUUGUGUUCUUUUAAUAAAAGCUUGUUGUUUUUAUGUUGGGUGUUUGUUUAUUAAUGUUUUUUUAGCACUUUGUGUGGAUUGAUUGAUUUUAAUCCUAAUUUUCUGUGCUUCUUUUUUUUUUUUUUUUUCUUUUUUUCUGGGUUUUUUGGUUUAAUUCGUUCAAGGGUUUUGUUUAAAGGUGGUAAGGAGCAGAUUAUAGAAGCCUAUAAGCAUGUAUUCAAAGCUGGUUGGAUUGAGGAAAGCUGAACUUCUGAACUUCUGCUGUGUGAUUAGAUGCUUAGUUUGUGACAUGACUUAUUUUCUCGAAUAUCUAUGUAACUUCUGCUCUGUGGGAUGGUUGAUUUUGUUUGACCUUGAUUGAAUUUUUAAACUCUUUUUAGUUAAAUGUUAAUGGAAACUGAUGCAAACCCUAAUGAGUAGGUGUGGCAAUAUGAGCUCUUGGGAAUUAGGACAUGUUUGGGAGACAAAGUUGGAGAAUUCAAGAACAGAUGCCAGAGGCAGUAUAAGCUAUUUGAACCAAAACCCACCUCUCCUGCCACCUAGAGAGCUGUUUUUUAUGAUAUAUUUUAAAAUUAAGUUUAUAAUUUGUUUUUCCUUUUUUUAAUGCAUAGAGCUUCACAUCAAACAGCAAAAAAGGUUUUCUUACUUUGUGCCAAAUGGAGGGUCCUUAGCUUCUCUCUCUUCUCUCUCUUUUCUCUCUGUUGUGGUCUCUUUGUGGAAUGAUCAUGCUACUAAUGUAGGGCAGGAAUUGUUGGAUAAUGCUGAUUAAUUUCCAAUUGUUGCAAUUAAAUCUCUCAAAGUUGGAGACUUCCAAGUUGUAUCACUGUCAACAUUGAGUGAAAGUAUUGUACUGGUAAAUCCAGAUACACGCGAAUAAAAAAAGUUGAUAUCCUGGUAUGAUUCUGAAUGUAAAGGAGCUUCAAUGGCUUCUAUUGGCUUUCUCUGUUCAAUGACCAAGCAGAGAGAAUAUUUGGGUGCUCUGCUGAUGAGCUUGAUAAGCUGAAAUCACAGGAGGGAGAAGAGAACCUAUUCCAACAGAAAUUGAAGGAAGCUAUUUGGGUCCCUCAGCUUUUCCGGAUUAGUGUUGCACAACAUGAGUACAUGAACGAGAAAAGGCAGAGGAUAACAGCCAGGGCUGUUGUUCCAGUUGAUUUUGCAGCUGAAUCCAGAUUACUGUUGGAGGAGAUAUCAAAGAUGAAGACUUCACAAUAGGCUCCUUAGUUUAUUUUGUUCUUUGGAUAAUGAUAUUUAGUCAGUAUGCCUUCAGUUCCCUCUAUAUCUUAAGACACAUCCCAUUGAAUAUAGAGGAAGCUUAAUCCUAACUUGGAAUGCACAUACCAUUAUUGUAAUAUAUGUUUUGCAGACAUACAUGGCGUUUUGUUGCAUUGUAGAAAAAUCACUUAAAAAGCAGUUUCACGAGUUGGGUUUCCA